ACCUGCGGAGGGAUCAUUACACAAAUAUGAAGGCGGGCUGGAACCUCUCGGGGUUACAGCCUUGCUGAAUUAUUCACCCUUGUCUUUUGCGUACUUCUUGUUUCCUUGGUGGGUUCGCCCACCACUAGGACAAACAUAAACCUUUUGUAAUUGCAAUCAGCGUCAGUAACAAAUUAAUAAUUACAACUUUCAACAACGGAUCUCUUGGUUCUGGCAUCGAUGAAGAACGCAGCGAAAUGCGAUAAGUAGUGUGAAUUGCAGAAUUCAGUGAAUCAUCGAAUCUUUGAACGCACAUUGCGCCCUUUGGUAUUCCAAAGGGCAUGCCUGUUCGAGCGUCAUUUGUACCCUCAAGCUUUGCUUGGUGUUGGGCGUCUUGUCUCUAGCUUUGCUGGAGACUCGCCUUAAAGUAAUUGGCAGCCGGCCUACUGGUUUCGGAGCGCAGCACAAGUCGCACUCUCUAUCAGCAAAGGUCUAGCAUCCAUUAAGCCUUUUUUUCAACUUUUGACCUCGGAUCAGGUAGGGAUACCCGCUGAACUUAAGCAUAUCAAAG
rnacentral:rRNA from 1 species